AAUCAACGCUGGCGGCGUGCCUCAGACAUGCAAGUCGAACGCGAAAGUUCCCUUCGGGGGGCGAGUAGAGUGGCGCACGGGUGAGUAACACGUAGGUAAUCUACCUUUGGGUGGGGAAUAACAGCCGGAAACGGCUGCUAAUACCGCAUAAUGCAGCGGCUCGACAUCGAGACAGUUGUUAAAGCGGGGGAUCGCAAGACCUCGCGCCUAAAGAGGAGCCUGCGGCGGAUUAGCUUGUUGGUGAGGUAAUGGCUCACCAAGGCAUCGAUCCGUAGCCGGCCUGAGAGGGCGGUCGGCCACACUGACACUGACAUACGGGUCAGACUCCUACGGGAGGCAGCAGUCGGGAAUUUUGGGCAAUGGGCGCAAGCCUGACCCAGCAACGCCGCGUGAAGGAUGAAAUCCCUCGGGAUGU
rnacentral:rRNA from 1 species